UUCCGUAGGUGUACCUGCGGAGGGAUCAUUACAGAGUUAUCCAACUCCCAAACCCAUGUGAACUUAUCUCUUUGUUGCCUCGGCGCAAGCUACCCGGGACCUCGCGCCCCGGGGCGGCCCGCCGGCGGACAAACCAAAACUCUUGUUAUCUUAGUUGAUUAUCUGAGUGUCUUAUUUAAUAAGUCAAAACUUUCAACAACGGAUCUCUUGGUUCUGGCAUCGAUGAAGAACGCAGCGAAAUGCGAUAAGUAAUGUGAAUUGCAGAAUUCAGUGAAUCAUCGAAUCUUUGAACGCACAUUGCGCCCAUUAGUAUUCUAGUGGGCAUGCCUGUUCGAGCGUCAUUUCAACCCCUAAGCACAGCUUAUUGUUGGGAACCUACGGCUUCGUAGUUCCUCAAAGACAUUGGCGGAGUGGCAGUGGUCCUCUGAGCGUAGUAAUCUUUUAUCUCGCUUCUGUUAGGUGCUGCCCCCCCGGCCGUAAAACCCCCAAUUUUUUCUGGUUGACCUCGGAUCAGGUAGGAAUACCCGCUGAACUUAAGCAUAUCAAAAACCGAGGAAGGA
rnacentral:rRNA from 2 species